rnacentral:lncRNA from 1 species
CUUUUCUUGAGCCUAGAUUUCUCCUAUUUAUUCUCUGCCUGCCAGCCCCACCAAUUCUUUUUCCUGCCUAGCUAUUGGCCGUUCAGCUCGUUAUUACAUCAAUCAGGUGCCUUUGGCAGGCAAGGUGAAACAGAGGUAGCAAAUCUUUAUAUAAUUAAACAAAUGCAGUAUAAACAAAAGAAACACACCUUUACACAGUCAAAGUAACAUUCCACAGCAUAAACAGAUGUAACACAUCUUUGCCCAGUUAAAAUAAUAUUCCACAACACCUAACAAUUGGAGCAGGGUGUUUGCUGACUCUUUUCCCUACUUAUAGGACCCUUUCCCUCCUACUGGGUUGUCUCGUUCAGCCUUGAUGUGAUGGUAUGUGCCUGGUUUCAUUGUAGAAUAUUAUGCCAUGUUUGGUUGAUGUCCCCGGGAGGCCUGCUCUUUUCUGAGGGGAAAUAAAGGGGGCACAGACCUGGGGGAGAGGGGAGAUGUGGGGAGAGAAUCAGGGCAGGAAAGGGAGGGGAAACUGUGGUUGGGAUGUAAUAUAUGAGAUAAUAAUAGUGAGAACAACAACAGGUGCUCUUAACUGCUGAGCUACCUCUCCAGCUCCAAAUGGAAGUUUGAAAAUGCUUUUCUCCUGUAUGUCCAGGAGAAACCUCAGGGAGAGUCCACUGUGGGCCCCCGGAACUCACUAGGAUUCUCCAGCUUCAUCUCCAGCAGCCCUUCCUGGAGCUGCCCAGGCUUUGGGGACUGGAGUUAAGCAAGUGCCCAGUGUUCUUGCUGUGUUGCUCAGCAGGGUGCCAGGCAGUGGCUCAGGGCUGCAGUGUGACUUAGAUUUGAGACAAUAUUUGGUCAGUGAAUCUCUCUCUCUCUCUCUCUCUCUCUCUCUCUCUCUCACACACACACACACACACACACACACACACACACACACACACACACACACACACACACACACACACACACACACACACGCUGGGUGAGUGAGCAUGUAAGUGGCUCAUAGUUCUGCGGUCAGCCAGCUUGGAUGGAAAGUGAGCGCCCCCUGCUGGCCCAGAAGUGCCAUAUCUGUGUGUUUAUGUCUUAAGGACAGGACCUCCAGAAAACUCCACUCCCAUCUAGGAAGAACUUCCCAAACAUCUAGUUCUCAGCAAUGUCGCCAGUUGGAUUCGUAUUUGUUGUAGACAAAAGGAGCCUGCCCUUGAGCAAGAUUUAGAAUAUCAAAAUCUUUAUAAACACCACCUCCCACGAAACGCGGCAAAGCCCACAUGGACUUGGCACAGAGUGGCCCUAACACUAAACCGCUGCCCCGGUUCCAGGUUCCAAUCAAAGGCUCCUCCACAGAGCUGUGUCCUUGAGACUGGAGGCGUCACCCCAGAGCUGAUAAAGUUUGCAGGCUGUUCAGUUGCACAUGUUGGGAGCACUGGGAAAGAAAACGAUUCAAAAUAGUCUUUAUUAAACCCCUCUAGAGCUCAGCACCUAUUUCCCAUUAGUGAGGUCCAGAAAAAUCCCUGAAGGCAACAGGCCGCAUGCGGCGCUGUCUCUGGUGUCUGAAAAGCACUUUUCCAUGUUAAGCUGUUUGUGCCACUGUAAAGAAUUUUUGUUUUUGUUUUUUUUGUUUUGUUUUUGAGUUUUUGUUUGUUUGUUUGCUUUAUACUUCAUUUUUGUUGGCAGGGGUAUAUCCACGCCACAGUUGUUGUGUGGAGGUCAGAGAACAACUCUGAGGUGUUGGUUUCUCCUUCUAUCAUGUGGAUCCUGAGUAUCAGGCUCAGGCUUCCCAGCAAGUGAAUCCACCAGCUGAGCCACCUCGGUGCCUGUUGUAUUACUUUAAAAUAGUGCACAUGGAUCUAGGGGACCCAUGAGAACAUGUGCAAAGCCAAGCAGCCGAUUCUGUCACUCCUCUAGAAAAUCGUGAUACUGUUGUCUGGUUCUGAUUUGAUUUUUGAGACAGGAUCUUGCAAUACAGCCCACACUGGCCUCAAACUCACUGUUUAGGUCAGGCUGACUGGAAAUCUUCCUGCCUCAGUCCCCUAAGUAGUGGCAUCAAUGUGAGUGUCAUCAUACAACUCCAUGUAACUUCAAGGAACAGUGAAUAGCAUCCAAGCAGCAAUAGUUUCAGUGGUAAAAUUGAAACAUUUUUGUAUAUUUUAUGCUAAUCUCUUUUAUGGAAACUUCAUGCAGUAUUUAAAUGUGUGGAUUUCUGGUACAAUUCAAGACUUGCAUUGACCAUUUUAAUUUCUGUAUUAGCUGAUUGAGGUUUCUUGAAGAUGAAUUCUUAUGCAAAGCAACCUGGGAACCUCAAUGACUCAAGAAGUGGUUACCAUCCACAGACAGGACUGUAGCACAGGAGUGAUGGGAGCAACAGAGGCGAUGUUUCCGUUAAAGUGAAGACAAACAUUAAGGCUAGUAGGAGCCUGAGUUACAAUUACACUGUCACUUAGUGCCUCAUUGGCCAGCCUGGGGAAGGGGCGUGCGGGUGAAGGCAUGAUCAAGUCUGCACAGAUUCCUUCUGCUCUUUGUCAACUCGAAGUCAUUUAACAACAGCUUUUCAUAUGUUUCUGUCUGGAGUGUUAUGAGGACAUUUAAAAGUGAUUUAAAAGAUUUAUUGGUUUUUAAAAACUAUCUUUACUUUUUCAAAUGAUUGUGUCAUAUCUAUCUACACACACACACACACACACACACACAAUGUCUCUGUCAUCCUUUGUGGAAUUGCCUCAGGCCCCGUGGACAUUAGGGAACUGUUACUAUUGAGUUUUAUAAAUAGACUUGUUUAAACUGGCCCUAGAUGCCAUUCCAGUUUGUAGAAGGGUUUUGGGAAACGUGCAGACUAUUAAAAUGUUGAUGGGGACUGGCUCUACAGGGAACUCUCUGACUUGGGUACGGGAAGGACAAAGAUGGCCAGCUUGGCACUGCAGACACAGCUAAGAAAGUGAGGAGACUGCAACUGCCCUGUGACCUCCUCAAGCUAUGUAGACAAACUGCCCCAAAGAACUAAAAUUUCCCCAGAAUCCCAUUGUAACCUUCCCUCCUCUAUCAGACUAUGGAAACAAAGGCACCCAAAGAAUUAAAUCUCCCCAGGAAUUGCAAUGCUGGGGGAAGGGAAAGGUUUUGCCCCUGGUGCCAGUCACAGGAUAAACUUGCCUCCCAGAAAGAGCUUUCCCACGAUGUUGACAACUUAAAUCAACGAAUAUUUCCUGGCUUUUCUUUAAUCUUUUCUGUAAAAUUUUGGCUCUGCUAUGGGUUCAGUGUGCUUUGCCCUAAGCUACCCCAUAGUGUGCAAAAGGGUGUUUUUUUAGGGUGGUAUGCCUUCCUGAAAAGUCUCAUUUUACAUGCAGGAGUUUUUUGUUGGUUUGUUUUGUUUUCUUGGCUGUCCUGGAACUCACUUUGUAAACCCAGCUGGCCUUGAACUCACAGAGGUCUGCUUGCCUCUGCAUCCUAAGUACUGGUACUAAAGAUGUGUGCCACUACCCAGCUUGUUUUGUUUUCUUAAGAUAGGUUCUCAUGUACACUAGACUGGCCUGGAGCUCACAGAAAUCCACCUUCCUCUGCCUCCCUAGUGCUAAGAUUAAAGGUGUGUGCCAUUCAUUAUGCCUGGCAUAUGCAGCUUUUGACACCAUUAAAAAUUAUUUCUUUUUCUUUUGUGUUUGAGUGUUUUGCCUGCACGUAUGUGUGUGCAACUCAUGCACACCUGCUGCCCUUGGAGGCACCAGAGAGGGAAUUGGAUUGGUGGAACUGGAUGUACAGAUGGUUGUGAGUCAUCACGGGGGGGGGGGGGUGCAAGGAGCUGAACCUAGGUCCUCUGCAAGAGUAACAAUGCACCAGACCAGGAAAGAUGCACUCCCUCACCUGGCCUCAUGAAAAAAAGGACACACAACACUGUCGUGGCCAUGGCCCCACUGACCUGUCGUCUGAUAUCCGGUGGGUGUGGUAAGGGACCAAGAGGCAGAAGACAUCUGACUCUUCCAGAGGCUAACUCAAAUACAUUGUCUGUCCAUCCAUCGUUAGUUUGUCUGGAUCUGGUCCUGCCCUUUCUCUAUGGCUUCCAAGACUCCAUUGCUUACCUCUCCACCUCACAUAAAACCUGAGACUUGGAUGAAGCUUGUGUCCCUGUGACUCACAUUGCAGAGUGUCUCCAACAAGACAUCCAGCAAGUUCACUGUUUGACCCAGUGCCCUCUUCUCCAGACAUCCUCUUUUCCACCCUAUCAGCCUCUUGUGUCUGCCUCUCAGACAGCCUCCCUUGAACUCUGUUGCAGCCUCUUUAGCCAUUCUGUAGCAGACAAUAGCAAAAAGUGAUUAAGACAGCAUAAUACAUUUGAUAUUUAUUUUAUAACAAGUAAAAAAUAAAUACUUGCUGGUUUCCACAUGUUGGCUCCUUCAUCAAAUGAUUUGUUUAAAUAUGUAUUUUAUUCUCUCUCUCUCUCUCUCUCUCUCUCUCUCUCUCUCUGUGUGUGUGUGUGAGUGUGUUUGUGUGUGUGUGUGUUCAUGCAUAUAUGUGCACACACGUGGGUGCAUGUACACGUUGAUGUCAAGUGUCUUCUUCCAUUGUUCUCUACCUUUUAUUUCUGAGACAGGGUCUCUCAAUGAAUCUGGACCUUGCUAGCCAGCACCCUCGGGGGAUCAUCUUGUCUCUGCCCCCCCAAACCCCCAGCCCAGUGCCAGGGUACCAGGUGUUCAUGGACACAUUGAGUUUCUUACAUGGGUGCUACAGAUCUGAACUCAGGUCCUUAUGUCUGGGCAGAAAGCAGUCUACUAUGAUGGUUAACAUUACAUUUAAAGUUUAGACAUACUAUGCUUGAGAGACCAAAAAGAAAAAAGAAAAAAAAAUACCUCUAACACACAAGCCCCUGACUAUAUACCCUAGGAGCCAGCCCACUUCCUGUGUUUUCCCCAGACAUUGAGAACUAUUCUUAAAUGAACUGAUCUUAUAAAAUUUGCUGGUCUUGCAAGAUAUUAGGUUAUAAAACGAACUGCUAUUUCUGCUUUUGUAAUCAAACUUGCUGACUCUGCUCAAUGACUAAGACAACUGCAGGGCAGAUAUGUUAAAAUCAGGGUCUGACUUUGUGGUUUUUGACUUUAUAAGCCUUGGGCUGAUACGCCGAGGGGCUGCAGAACAUUCCCACUUGAGCCACGUCUCCAGCCCCCCAGUGAGGAUUCUAGGAGGUUCAGCAGUGGUGCUAGGGUAAAGUACCAGAUGAGAAGGGGCACCAUCUUACUCCCCAGGACGGAACCGUAGGACGGAGCCCAGCUUGAGACAGGCAAGAGGGCCACAGAUCUGAAGGUCCACAGAAAAUGGCUUUUCUCAAGGAUCUAGAAGUCAUCUUGGGGAGAGCUCCGCACAGUAAUUUGGGCUGGUUUAAUUUAAAUUUAGAAUCACCAUAUGUACUGGGUGGUUUUGUAUGUAAACUUGACACAAGCUAGAGUCAUCAGAGAGGAAGGAGCCUAAGCUGGGGAAAUGCCUCCAUGAGAUCCAACUGUAAGGCGUUUUCUCAAUUAGCGAUCAACCGUGGUGGGUGGUGCCAUUCCUGGGCUUCUGGUCCUGAAGGGGCUGAACAAGCCGUGGGAAUCCAGCCAGUAAACAGCUCCCCUCCGUGGCCUCUGCAUCAGCCUUCAGGUUCCUGCCCUGACUUCCUUCAGUGAUGGACAGCAAUGCUGACACGUAAGCUGAAUAAACCCUCUCCUCCCCAACUUGCUUUUUGAUUAUGGUGUUUCAUUACUGCAAUAGAAACCCUCACUAAGUUACCAUAUUAUUUUUUUCUUAUUGCUUUGACCAAGUACCUGACAAGAAGCAACUAAAGAAGAAAGGGUUUAUUUGACUCACAGUUUGAAGAGACACUGUCCAUCAUGGCGGGGAAGGCACGGGUGGCAUCAGGAGGUGGAGAUAGUUGGUCAUACUGUCUGUGUCCGG